AACAUGCAAUAUCUGAAAUAAUUGCUAUCCUACACCAGACCAGACCAGACCAGACCAAAUCCGGUUCGACAAUACCACGAUUGUUAAUUGGUUAUCGAUAAACAUGGUACCGAGAAGAACCGCGAAUCAGUUUAAUUACGAAAGUAACCCUAAAGCUACGGAAGUAAAUGAAUCGAUCUCUGUUAGCCCCCUUGGGAGUGUGAUUGGGAGGCACAAGUGUGCUUUACGUUACGUCCCGCACGAGCCCUACGACACAGGUGGCGUCUUCUUGGAUCUUCAGAGCUCCUCUGUUUCAAAAGGAGUCGAGAUUUUUAUUGGUUUUUGUUUCUUGCUUGAGAGUGAAGAGAGACUAAUAAGGAAGAAGAAGCAGAUGGGAGAUUUGGCUUUCCCUUUAUACUGAGUUAAAGCGGUUGAGUUAGCAAGCACGUUGUGAUUGGAUUCUAUGUUGAUGUGAUGGACGGUCGUUUUGUGACAGAUCUUCCGCUGGAUGUUCAUCUUAUGAUAGUGGAAACCUGAACAGAGAGUGCCAACACUUGAGACUCAAGUCUUGGGAGUUAUCAUCAUCUCUUUUACAUAAUAUAAAGAAUUUGACAUUUUGAAAUCCUGAGCUUGUUAUGUAAUAGGGAAUCGAGG